AUAUAUAUAUAUAUAUAUAUAGAGAGAGAGAGAGAGAGAGAGAGAGAGAGCAGGGCUGCUGUGCUCUCAGGAGCACGGAGGCCUCCGUGCUCCUGAGCCAUUUUCGAUGAUAGAGUUUCUGAAUCGACGAUCGACUCCGUUAAACUUGAUCUAGCGUAUUUGAAGAUUAUAGAAUUUUUAUAGAAUUUUUAUUUUCAACCGUUAAAAAUUAUUGCUUUUGAAUCCUUUCGAUUGCUAGAUAAAUGAUAUCGAAAAAUCGUAAAAAUUAUUUUCUAGAAACUUCAAAUACGCUAGAUCAAGUUUAACAAAGUUGAUCGUCGAUUCAGAAACUCCAUCAUCAAAAACGGCUCGGGAGCACGGAGACCUUCGUGCUCUUGAGAGCACAGCAGCCCUGCUUUAUAUAUAUAUAUAUAUAUAUAUAUAGUUUGAUUUGAAAUGGGACUAUGAAU
rnacentral:lncRNA from 1 species